CAGCCGCCACGGUAAUACGGAGGGAGCUAGCGUUGUUCGGAAUUACUGGGCGUAAAGCGCACGUAGGCGGCUAUUCAAGUCAGAGGUGAAAGCCCGGGGCUCAACCCCGGAACUGCCUUUGAAACUAGAUAGCUUGAAUCCAGGAGAGGUGAGUGGAAUUCCGAGUGUAGAGGUGAAAUUCGUAGAUAUUCGGAAGAACACCAGUGGCGAAGGCGGCUCACUGGACUGGUAUUGACGCUGAGGUGCGAAAGCGUGGGGAGCAAACAGGAUUAGAUACCCCGGUAGUCCCUGUCUCUUAUAC
rnacentral:rRNA from 1 species